GCACAUGCAACUGAGUUCAGGCCGGGGGACUGUGAGCGAUGUACUCCACUUCCAGGCUUGGGCUAAUUACCUCCUAUGUGCGGUCCUAGCUCCUUGUUCUUCUUCCACAGCGGAUGUGCAUGAGCACAGGACUUGGAUGCUACUUACUGAAGACACUUUUUCUGCAGUGUCAACAUCAUCUUCAUCAUUACUAUUACUACAAUCACCUUGAUUCAGAACCCAUCAGUCAAUGAAUGAACAACUGGAGCCUCACUAUUGGUGUGAAUAAUUUCUUUGAUAUCCACUUCUUCCAGCUUGCUGAUAGACUCUGAAGUAUCCUCAGCUCUUGGCCCAGUGAGUCUUCUGUGCAUGCUGCUGGGGGAAAUCAGCCAGAACUGCUCUGCUGGACAAGAUUCUCAGAAUAGAGGCUGCUAACAAGCCCAGAUGGCAGUUGCAGCCAUCUUGUGACUAGAAGAAGAGGAAGCUCCAUACUCAGGGGCUCCAGAACACUAGAGUCACAGUCCUGAGACACAUACCUGGAGGCUGCCCUGCGUGUGG
rnacentral:lncRNA from 1 species